UACGUAGGGGGCGAGCGUUGUCCGGAAUCAUUGGGCGUAAAGCGCGUGUAGGCGGCCCGGUAAGUCCGCUGUGAAAGUCCAGGGCUCAACCCUGGGAUGCGGGUGGAUACUGUCGGGCUCGAGUCCGGAAGAGGCGAGUGGAAUUCCUGGUGUAGCGGUGAAAUGCGCAGAUAUCAGGAGGAACACCAAUGGCGAAGGCAGCUCGCUGGGACGUCACUGACGCUGAGACGCGAAAGCGUGGGGAGCAAACAGG
rnacentral:rRNA from 1 species